CCAAACGAGCUGUCCGUUGAAUGACGUGCUUGCACUGAUUUCAACAAUGAAGCGAGUGGCAAACUGGUGAGUAACACGUGGGAAAUCUGCCCAGAAGCAGGGGAUAACACUUGGAAACAGGUGCUAAUACCGUAUAACAACAAAAUCCGCAUGGAUUUUGUUUGAAGGGUGGCCUCCCCCAUCACCCCAGCAGGAUCCGGCU
rnacentral:rRNA from 1 species